GGCUGUAUGGUAUAGCGGAAUGCGUGACCUUGUGUCUCGGAGAUUUGGGGUUCGAUUCCCCGUACGGGCA